rnacentral:lncRNA from 1 species
CCGGAAGGGUAAGCAGAUCCUGCUCCACAUGUGGCACCCAUCGUGUUGCUUAUGUGAUAACAAAUCCGGUAAAUAGUCUAAUUCGGUAGGUCACAUUCAUGAAAGGGAAGGGGGUUGUAGUUACGACGUAAGGAACAUAUCUGAUAUCAUUUGUGAAACGGUUAUUCCAUAACGGUCAACCAACUCGUGAUGGCGUCUGUAAAAUUUACGAAGGGAUGAUUUCAACUUCACCAU